rnacentral:lncRNA from 1 species
CAAACACAAAGGGCUAAUACCCGAUUUAAACGUUGAGGCGUGCCAGCCGAUUUGACCAAGCAAUCGACAAAGGUGAUAACUUGAACACUUUGGUCCCGACAACAGCGAUGCGCUCGAAUGUCACGGCCAAGAGGUAUUCACGCGGAACUCGAGAACUCGUCGAGUAUGACUCGAUGAAUCCUUAAGAACUCGUAGAAGAAAGAAAAAUAUGCGAGUUGACGAAGUCGUCGAAAAAGUAGAUGAAAUUGUAGAUGUAAAAACUUGUGUAUGAUAUUGAUUGAUUGUUCUUCUUACAUCGCUACUAGGCCUAUAUUUAUACUCUAUCCUAAAGAGUUACAAACGUAUACGACUAGGAUUUAAUUCCAAACCAAACAAGACUCGUACAUAAAGCAAACUCUAACAAUUAUGGAAAGUAACAACCUAUCUAUUCUGGGUGAUCGGCACAUCAUCAUUGUCUUCCCAGCGACCCCCACGUCUUCCUUCACCAUUCAUCGGCAUACUCUCCUUCAUCGGCAUCGGCAAUCAUCAACAUCAGGCAUCGACACCGAUCAGCAACCAUCGCCAGACUUAGCCAUAUCUUCCACCUGUUGCCUUGUCAUCGGUAUCAUAGGCUAUCGGGAAUCUCCUUAUCGGCCAGACACAUCACCUCUCUGAACUGCCGAUUCAAGCUUCAUUGACUAUCCCGAUUUGUGUCAAAAACGGUGUCAAGAGUAAUAAACAUAUGGGAUGGUCAAUCUAUGUUUCCAGGGCUACCGAAAAUUUCAGAGCGCGCCACCAUACCUCUUGCUCCGAGCCUCCGAGAAGAUUUCCUCUUGAAAAUUGUCAUUUUUCGUUUGCCCUUCAAAACGUCACAACAAAUGUAGAAUGUUUUGUUUUGCAUCAAAAAUAAAUUAGUUAAAUAUAACAAAAAAGUCAAAAUAGCCUUAAACUUUGAAAU